UACGUAUGGUGCAAGCGUUAUCCGGAUUUACUGGGUGUAAAGGGAGCGCAGGCGGCGCGGCAAAUCCGAUGUGAAAACCCCCGGCUCAACCGGGGGACUGCAUUGGAAACUACCGGGCUGGAGUGCCGGAGAGGUAGGCGGAAUUCCUGGUGUAGCGGUGAAAUGCGUAGAUAUCAGGAGGAACACCAGUGGCGAAGGCGGCCUACUGGACGGUGACUGACGCUGAGGCUCGAAAGCGUGGGGAGCAAACAGG
rnacentral:rRNA from 1 species